GGGGGGAAGGGCGCGGGUCCAUGGCAACCACUGUUUCUGAGAUUCCCACGCCUCGGAGACCCCACAAGGCUGUGCUGCUCCAGUGAUCAGUAAAACCAAUUUCAUGAUCUCGAUGAAGCACAGCUGAGUUGAGGACACAGUCUGGAUCAGGCUUGAAGAGAUCACUUUGUAAACACCAUUGCCAGUCUUCACAGCCACCUAGCAAGUUCACUUCUAGUGAAAUGAGAUAAUGACAUUCACUCCAAUCAACGUGUCAUCAGGUCAGCCUCACCUCGAAGUUUAUUGGAAAUGCCACCCCAGACCUACUGAAUUGGAAGCUACAGUGUCAUAAAAUAUCCCAGGUAAGUGACUUCAGUGUCAAAGAAAAAUCAGAAGUAUUUGAAAAAGAAGCAGAGAAGCCAGGUGCAGAGGAAAGGACACAGACAUUUUGGUGGCUCCCUUCAGAGGGAUGCCACUCCAG
rnacentral:lncRNA from 1 species